AACGCGAAGAACCUUACCUGGGCUCGAAAUGUACAGGACAGCGGUAGAAAUACCGUCUCCCAGCAAUGGGUCUGUAUAUAGGUGCUGCAUGGCUGUCGUCAGCUCGUGUCGUGAGAUGUUGGGUUAAGUCCCGCAACGAGCGCAACCCUUGUCCUGUGUUGCCAUCAUUCAGUUGGGAACUCGCAGGAGACCGCCAGGGAUAACCUGGAGGAAGGUGGGGAUGACGUCAAGUCCUCAUGGCCUUUAUGUCCAGGGCUACACACGUGCUACAAUGGACGGUACAAAGGGCUGCCAACCCGCAAGGGGGAGCCAAUCCCAAAAAACCGUUCUCAGUUCGGAUUGCAGGCUGCAACUCGCCUGCAUGAAGCUGGAAUCGCUAGUAAUGGUGGAUCAGAACGCCACCGUGAAUACGUUCCCGGGCCUUGUACACACCGACUGUAC
rnacentral:rRNA from 1 species